rnacentral:rRNA from 1 species
AGUGAACGCUGGCGGCGUGCCUAAUACAUGCAAGUCGAACGGAGAGGCGCACGGGUGAGUAAUGUAUAGCUAAUCUGCCCUACACUAGAGGACAACAGCUGGAAACGACUGCUAAUACUCUAUAGUGUAGGAUGAGGCUAUAUUGUAUCAGCUAGUUGGUGAGGUAAUGGCUCACCAAGGCUAUGACGCAUAACUGGUCUGAGAGGAUGAUCAGUCACACUGGAACAGAGACACAAUCCAGAAUCCUACGGGAGGCAGCGGUAGGGAAUAUUGCUCAAUGGGAGAAACCCUGAGGCAGCGACGCCGCGUGGAGGAUGACACUUUUCAGGGCGUAAACUCCUUUUGUUAGGGAAGCGGUGCCUAACGAGUAAGCACCGGCUAACUCCGUGCCAGCAGCCGCGGUAAUUC